rnacentral:lncRNA from 1 species
AGUUUUUUGGCCAGGGGGGAUUCAGGGUACCCCGAAAGGAUGGAGUCCACCAACAAGUGCCAAUCCACUUAAAAUUGGUGUUCCAACCAGAGCAUCUUUCAAACAAUAUGUAGAAGUGGAAAUGGAAAAAGAUCACUUGGGAAAUAACAUCUCUUUCUCUUAUAAAGGACUUGCAAUUGAUGUCUUUAAAGCCACUCUAGAAGAAUUGCCAU